rnacentral:rRNA from 1 species
GAUGAACGCUGGCGGCGUGCCUAACACAUGCAAGUCGAGCGACCACAUGAUGAGCUUUUUCCUUUGACGUUAGCGGUUGACAGUCGAGUAACACGUGGAUCACCUUCCUCUUUUUCUUGGAUAACUUCGUGAAACCGGUUCCACUACCGGAUAAUAUAUUCUACCGCUUGGUUCAAUAGUUAUUGACGGUUUUGCUGUCUCUUUUAGCUGGUUCCGCGCCGCAUUAGCUAGUUGGUAAGGUAACGGCUUACCAAGGCAACGAUGCGUAGCCGACCUGAGAGGGUGAUCAGCCACACUGGAACUGAGACACGGUCCAGACUCCUACGGGAGGCAGCAGUAGGGAAUAUUCGACAAUGGGCGAAAGCCUGACGCAGCAACGCCGCGUGAGUGAAGAAGGCCUUCGGAUCGUAAAACUCUGUUGUUGGGAAAGAAAAAAAGAAGGAGUAAAUAUGGACGUCUUGACGGUACCUAAUCAAAAAGCAACGGCUAACUACGUG